rnacentral:rRNA from 1 species
GAUGAACGCUAGCGGGAGGCUUAACACAUGCAAGUCGAGGGGCAGCAUAGGGUAGCAAUACUCUGAUGGCGACCGGCAAACGGGUGAGUAACGCGUAUGCAACCUACCCUGUACAGGGGGAUAACCCGGAGAAAUUCGGACUAAUAUCCCGUAAUAAUAUCCGGAGGCAUCUUUGGAUAUUUAAAGUUCCGACGGUACGGGAUGGGCAUGCGUAACAUUAACUGGUUGGUAAGGUAACGGCUUACCAAGGCUAUGAUGUUUAGGGGUCCUGAGAGGGUGGUCCCCCACACUGGUACUGAGACACGGACCAGACUCCUACGGGAGGCAGCAGUGAGGAAUAUUGGUCAAUGGGCACAAGCCUGAACCAGCCAUCCCGCGUGCAGGAAGACGGCCCUAUGGGUUGUAAACUGCUUUUCCAGGGAGAGAAACUUACGCACGUGUUGCGUGACUGACGGUACCCUGGGAAUAAGCAUCGGCUAACUCCGUG